AAUAUUGCACAAGGGGCACAAUCCUGACGUAGCGUCGCCGCUUUGGGGAUGAAGGCCUUCGGGUUGUAAACUCCUUUCGCUAUCCAAGAAGCCUCUCAGGUGACGGUAGGCAGAUAUGAAGCACCGCCUAACUACUUGCCAGCAGCCACAGUAAUACGUCGGGUGCAAGCGCUGUCCGGAAUUACUGGGCGUAAAGAGCUCGUAGGUGGUUUGUCGCGUCGUCUGUGAAAUCCCGGGGCUUAACUUCGGGCGUGCAGGCGAUACGGGCAUAACUUGAGUGCUGUAGGGGAGACUGGAAUUCCUGGUGUAGCGGUGAAAUGCGCAGAUAUCAGGAGGAACACCGAUGGCGAAGGCAGGUCUCUGGGCAGUUACUGACGCUGAGGAGCGAAAGCAUGGGUAGCGAACA
rnacentral:rRNA from 1 species